GCAGUGAGCCGAGAUUGCACCCACCACCAUGCCCGGCUAAUUUUUGUGUUUUUAGUAGAGACGGGUUUUAUCAUGUUGACCAAGCUGGUCUCAAACUCCUGACCUCAGGUAAUCUGCCCGCUUCAGCCUCCCCAAAUGCUGGGAUUACAGGCGUGAGCCACCGCUUCUGGCCUGAGACUCCCAGAGAUUUUUAAGGAAGGUCAAGAGUUAGCUUUAACAAUCACACUAGAGCUUACUUCUUGAGUAUUAUGAAGAAAAUACCAGUAUUUUUCUCAUGGAUAUUUCAAGUAUUUAAAUCAUUUAGGCAGAUCAUUUGACUCAACACAUUUUCUUUGAUCAUACGACAUUUGCAUAGACUUGUACCAUAUAAUUGCCCCCUCAGUUCCCAUUUAUACAUGUACUGUGCAGAUGCCAAAGGACGUAAACAUGGGGCCCAGCUAGCACAAUGACACAGCCUCCUGAAUUGAGCCAGCAUAUUCCUCUUGGCUGGAUGUCCACUGCUGGCUAAUGCAGCCUUUCAGAUGCCGGUUUCAGAGUUUUCAGGAGCUGUGGGUCGGGCACAGCAGGAGUUAAGGGGAUAAUACUGGUAAUAUUUUCUCUGCUCAUUUGGUAUAAGUUAUGUCUCCCUGACGUCCUCUGGUCAUGAAAUCCUGUUUGAUACUCCCUUCAAGUUCCUGCCUCUAGCACUGGCUGAAUUUAGGCUUUUCCUCAUUAUUCCUUGCCUGUGUCUGCUGCAGCUUCUGGAGUUCUUAUUUCCAUUCCUGCAUACCUGGCUUUCCCAUAAAGUGAUGAUACAAUGUGAUCCCAUUCUCCUGCUUAACCCCUCUGAGCUUCUCAUUAUCCUCAGAGUGAAGGGUGAUCUGUAGUUGAGCAAGCAGGUUCAGUUCAUUGAGGCCUCUUUAUUUUCAAAGCUUUUCUCCAAUUAUCUUCAUUGCAUUUUGGCCAUCAGGCUGCUCCAUGUUCUCCAAAGGUUCUUUGAACUUUCUCCCACCUCUGCCUUAGAUCUGGAAGCUCACACCACCUUCAAUGCCUUUCCUUCAUUUUCUGCCAGGGAAUUCUGCUUAUCCUCCAAGGCUUGACUGCAGAACUCUGUAGAGAGAAUAAAGGCCUUCUUAGAGCUCUGUGGCAAUGUUCCUUCUUAUAUAACUAUAAUUAUAUACCAAUCUGUACUGAACUGUGAUUAAGAGUUGACUUUUUCUCUAGUUUGUAAUAUAUUUAGUUCGUUGUGCAUAAUUGUGCUUAUUCUUUUGUUGGUAAAUAGUCAUUGAAUUCAAUAAUGGUAAAAUGAGGGCUGGUUGCAUAUAUUUGCAGAGGAGCUUUCAAAGUUUAUAAUCUAUACCUGCUGUGUCCAACACAGUAGCCACUAGCCAUGUGUGGCUAUUGAACACUUGCAAUUUCACUAGUUUGAAUUGUGCUGUAAGCGUGAAAUGCACACAGGUUUUGAAGACUUAGUACAAGAAGAGGAAUGUAAAUAGUAACUUUUAAUAUUGC
rnacentral:lncRNA from 10 species